GGACAGGUAAAAAACCUUGCAGCGGGUAUUUGGAACGUAGCCCUGUUCGACGCCCAAACUACAGAUUGGGCUUGAUGGGCCUACACCGUAAUUGAUGAGACAAUGAACACUACCCACCUAUUGUAUGGAGGCCUAGAGCCGAGGGCCGAAUAGGUGUACUGAUUUAUGUACUCCGAGAUCCUACUCGUCCUAUGAACUGUAUGCCUGUUGUGUACCUUCCCUGUUUUUGGAAGGAUGGAUCGACAUAACCUGCGUGGUAUGUCUGAGCGGAGAUACACAUCGCGGCAGAGAUGUGACAUUGUUAUUGAUGACGUCACAGUUGUUGAGAUAUUCAACGUCUUGGGGUCAUCAUUACAGACGUAGAUAUUCUGUUCUACUAUAACGUUGAUUCCCUGUUGUGGAUGUUGACCAUGUUCAGUACAUGUAUAUUGAGCACUGCGUGUGUGAUUUUGUUCUGCUGUAUAAGACGGCACUGAUUGGAUCAUGAGGGACCUAUGACGGAGACAUUGUUGUUCAUGUUCAUCUGGAGCUUAACAACCUAACUGUGUGGACUCGGUGUUCAACUGUGGUGGCCACUGAGAGACUUGUAGGGAAUAGGGUGUCUAUGUUUAUGUGUUUAUGCUUAUGUGUCUAUGAAUGUAUCAGAGUGUGUUGUAUGUAAGAUUGUGUGAUGAGCGUGUUUAUAAAUAAAUGUUAAUGUACAUGCUUGUACAAAUUGUAAAUAAAUCUUGUAUAUAUUGUAGCCUGUCUUCUCGUGCAAAUAUCAGCAAUCACGCUCAGUUUACGUUACAAUCUAUACUAACUGGCUCUGGAUUGAGCUGUUCCAUAUACUAUUGGAAAGACUUUUUGGCUCUGAAUUGAGUGAUUUGAGAAUUUGUUCAGGUGAACUUUCAACAUGUUGGGAUGCUACAUAGACAUUCUUAGAAUACUUUGUUGAGAGUGUCUGAGAUAGUGAGAGUGUAUGGUUGUAUUGUAAAUAUAUACAUUAUGCAUAUUGUCCUUCAUUGUAAAUAAACAAUCAUAUUUGUGUAA